ACGGCUACCUUGUUACGACUUAGCCCCAGUCACCGGUCUUGCCUUAGGGCGCUCCUUGCGGUCACGCACUUCAGGCACUCCCGGCUUCCAUGGCUUGACGGGCGGUGUGUACAAGGCCCGGGAACGUAUUCACCGCGCCGUGGCUGAUGCGCGAUUACUAGCGAAUCCAGCUUCAUGGAGUCGGGUUGCAGACUCCAAUCCGAACUGAGACAGGUUUUCGGGUUCUGCGCCGGGUCGCCCCGUGGCUUCCCGCUGUACCUGCCAUUGUAACACGUGUGUCGCCCCGGACGUAAGGGCCGUGCUGAUUUGACGUCAUCCCCGCCUUCCUCACAGCUUGCGCCGGCAGUCCCGACAGAGUCCUCAACGCUACCUGUUAGCAACUGUCGGUAGGGGUUGCGCUCGUUAUGGCACUUAAGCCGACACCUCACGGCACGAGCUGACGACAAACCAUGCAGCACCUCGUCAGCUGCCC
rnacentral:rRNA from 1 species